GGGCUCCUACUUGCUUAAAACCGGGGGCGAAUAGUAAACCUCUUUCGUCCGGGACGACUGGUCUCUGUUUAAUUUCGGUGGCCCAUGACGGUCCCGGAACAAUCAGCCCCGGCUAACUACGUGCCAGCAGCCGCGGUAAUACGUAUGGUGCAAGCGUUAAUCGGAAUUACUGGGCCUAAAGCGUGCGCAAGCGGCCCUGCAAAACCGAUGUGAAAUCCCCGAGCUUAACCUGGUAAUUGCCUUGGUGACUGCACGGCUUGACUGUGGCAGAGGGGGAUUGAAUUCCUCUUGUAACAAUGACAUGCGUAGAUAUGUGGAGGAACACCGAUGGCUAAGGCAGACCCCUGGGACUGUACUGACCCUCAUGCACUAAAUCGUGGGGAGCACACAGGAUUAAAUACCCUGGUAUUCCACUCCCUAAACUAUGUCCACUGGUUGUCGGGUAUUCACUUACUCAGUACCCAACCUGACACGUGAAGUUGACCGCCUGGGGAGUACGGCGCCAAGGUUAAAACUCAAA
rnacentral:rRNA from 1 species